GUAGGUGGCAAGCGUUGUCCGGAAUUAUUGGGCGUAAAGCGCGCGCAGGUGGUUCUUUAAGUCUGAUGUGAAAGCCCCCGGCUCAACCGGGGAGGGUCAUUGGAAACUGGGGAACUUGAGUGCAGGAGAGGAAAGUGGAAUUCCACGUGUAGCGGUGAAAUGCGUAGAUAUGUGGAGGAACACCAGUGGCGAAGGCGACUUUCUGGCCUGUAACUGACACUGAGGCGCGAAAGCGUGGGGAGCAAACAGGGAUUAGAUACCCUGGUAGUCCACGCCGUAAACGAUGAGUGCUAAGUGUGGGGGGGUUUCCGCCCCCUCAGUGCUGCAGCUAACGCAUUAAGCACUCCGCCUGGGAGUACGGUCGCAAGACUG
rnacentral:rRNA from 1 species